GAUAUGCUUAAGUUCAGCGGGUAUUCCUACCUGAUCCGAGGUCAACAUUCAGAAGUUGGGGUUUUACGGCGUGGCCGCGACGAUUACCAGUAACGAGGUGUAUGAUUACUACGCUAUGGAAGCUCGACGUGACCGCCAAUCGAUUUGGGGAACGCGGGUUACCGCGAGUCCCAACACCAAGCUGAGCUUGAGGGUUGAAAUGACGCUCGAACAGGCAUGCCCGCCAGAAUACUGGCGGGCGCAAUGUGCGUUCAAAGAUUCGAUGAUUCACUGAAUUCUGCAAUUUCACAUUACUUAUCGCAUUUUUGCUGCGUUCUUUCAUCGAUGCCCAGAAACCAAGAGAUCCCGUUUGUUUGAAAAGUUUUUGAUUUAUUUUGUUUUGUUUUUACUCAGAAAGUUUCCACUAAAAACAGUAGUUUUAGGGGUCCCUCGGGCGGGCCCGUCCCCUUUUUUACGGGGCGCGGGCUGAUCCCGCCGAGGCAACGUAUAGGUAUGUUCACAGGGGUUUUGGGAGUUGUAAACUCGGUAAUGAUCCCU
rnacentral:rRNA from 1 species